AACUCACAGAGCUCCACCUUCGUCUGCCUCCUCAGUGCUGGGAUUAAAAGUGUGUGCCACUACACUGCAUCCAACUUCAGGUGAGCAAUUUAAUGUAGGAUUUUAAAGCAGAGACCACAGAGGAAUGUUGUUUAUGGAUCUUACACGCGUAUGCUUACUUACCUAGCUUUCUUAAUAGCCUAGAACCGUUUCCCAAAUGGUGCCACCCACACUGGGCUGGGCCCUCCUAUAACAAUUACCAAUCAAAAUGGUCUUAUUUCAGGUUUCUGUGGUCGUAAAGCACAGUGAGCAAAAGCAGCCUGAAGAUGGAAGGUUUUAUAUGGCACGUGCUUCCACAACAUAGUCCACUACAGAAGGAAGUCAGUGCAGGAACGCAAGGCAGGAACUGAAGCACAGGCUACGGAGAAAGACUGCUAACUGGUGUAUUCCUGCUAGCUUGCUCUGCCUGCUUUCUUAUACCACCCAGGAGCACCUGCCCAGAGGUGGCACUAUCCCCAGUGGGCUGGGCCCUCCCACAUCAAUCAUCAAGACCUUCCAGCACUAUAAGAACCAGGCAUUAAAGAGGAAGCUUCCAGCUAUGCUAUGACUUGACUUCUUGAUAUCUUGCAAUCAAAGUGUAUAAUGACUUCAGCAAUAGCAUCUUUGUUUAGUUUUUGGUAGGUAACCA
rnacentral:lncRNA from 1 species